CCUACGGGCGGCUGCAGUCGAGAAUCAUUCACAAUGGGGGAAACCAUGAUGGUGCGACGCCGCGUGGGGGAAUGAAGGUCUUCGGAUUGUAAACCCCUGUCAUGUGGGAGCAAAUUAAAAAGAUAGUACCACAAGAGGAAGAGACGGCUAACUCUGUGCCAGCAGCCGCGGUAAUACAGAGGUCUCAAGCGUUGUUCGGAAUCACUGGGCGUAAAGCGUGCGUAGGCUGUUUCGUAAGUCGUGUGUGAAAGGCGCGGGCUCAACCCGCGGACGGCACAUGAUACUGCGAGACUAGAGUAGUGGAGGGGGAACCGGAAUUCUCGGUGUAGCAGUGAAAUGCGUAGAUAUCGAGAGGAACACUCGUGGCGAAGGCGGGUUCCUGGACAUUAACUGACGCUGAGGCACGAAGGCCAGGGGAGCGAAAGGGAUUAGAUACCCGAGUAGUC
rnacentral:rRNA from 1 species